AAAACAAGAGUCAAGGGGGAGAAAAUACAUGCAUUUGGAUUAGUUGAGGCAAGAACUGACAACAGAGUGCCUUUGCAAAUACUUUUUAAUUGAGUUAUUUCAUGUCAGAAGCCUACCAAGCUGGUCAUUUUGAAGGAAGAACCAUUGCAGGAUCUGAAGAGGAUUUCUUCAAGAAUUAACAAGCUCAGACAGUGAACUUCCCUCUGUGGAUCUCAGCAGCCAUUGUGGGAGAAAAUCCCUUUUAACAACCAUGAGGAAUGCAGGGUGUCCUUCCUGCUCACAUCCUGCAGAUCCUGAGUCCCAGAGUGUUUCCCUGCUCCUGACAUCCCUUGUUUCUCAGCCCAUGGAACUAGUGAGCCCACAUCAAAGAGGCUACAGAACAAGAUAGAGAGCCUGUAAAACCUGGUGGAAUCACCUCAGAUAAAAAACCAAGCCACCUCUCCAAUGAUCAGAACUCAGGAGGUGAAGACAAAGAAAUGCAAGGAAAAGGAGAGAAAGCUGUCCAAGUGAAGGCCCUGUAUGCAUUAGUGAUUGCUUUCAUGUAGAUCCAUUGUGUUUAAGUUGGUUUUAAAUAUUAAUAAUUAAAGAAUAAAAAGUCCUUACAAUUUUAAAAUUCUUGUUUA
ensembl:lncRNA